rnacentral:rRNA from 1 species
CGGACGGGUGAGUAACGCGUGGGUAACCUGCCUUGUACUGGGGGACAACAGUUAGAAAUGACUGCUAAUACCGCAUAAGCGCACAGUAUCGCAUGAUACGGUGUGAAAAACUCCGGUGGUACAAGAUGGACCCGCGUCUGAUUAGCUAGUUGGUAAGGUAACGGCUUACCAAGGCGACGAUCAGUAGCCGACCUGAGAGGGUGACCGGCCACAUUGGGACUGAGACACGGCCCAA